CUGGUUGAUCCUGCCAGUAGUCAUAUGCUUGUCUCAAAGAUUAAGCCAUGCAUGUCUAAGUUCAAGCGAAAAUAAAGUGAAACCGCGAAUGGCUCAUUACAUCAGUUAUGGUUCCUUAGAUCGCACUUACUACUUGGAUAACUGUGGUAAUUCUAGAGCUAAUACAUGCGCUGGGCUCCAACCCUCGUGGAAGGAGCGCUUUUAUUAGAUCAAAGCCAAUCGGGCCUUCGGGUCCGUUCUUUUGGUGACUCUGAAUAACUUUGCUGAUCGCAUGGUCUCGUACCGGCGACGUAUCUUUCAAGUGUCUGCCUUAUCAACUGUCGAUGGUAGGUUAUGCGCCUACCAUGGUGGUAACGGGUAACGGGGAAUCAGGGUUCGAUUCCGGAGAGGGAGCCUGAGAAACGGCUACCACAUCCAAGGAAGGCAGCAGGCGCGCAAAUUACCCACUCCCAGCUCGGGGAGGUAGUGACGAAAAAUAACGAUACGGAACUCUUACGAGGCUCCGUAAUCGGAAUGAGUACACUUUAAAUCCUUUAACGAGGAUUUAUUGGAGGGCAAGUCUGGUGCCAGCAGCCGCGGUAAUUCCAGCUCCAAUAGCGUAUACUAAUAUUGCUGCGGUUAAAAAGCUCGUAGUUGGAUCUCGUUUUCGGGCGAGCGGUGCACCUUGCGGUGUCUACUGUUUGCCCGGACGAUUUUGUUGGUUCGUUCAUGGUUCUCUUAAUCGAGUGCCAUGGGUGGCCAGCACGUUUACUUUGAAAAAAAUUAGAGUGAUUAAAACAGAUAUUAUUAUGUCUGUAUAAAUUAGCAUGGGAUAAUCGAAUAAGAAUCAGGAUAUUUGUUUUGAUUUGGUUAAAUAAAAGAAUAAGUUUUCCUUUGGUUAAUUUAUUUCUUUUAUCAAAUACCUGAUUACAUGAUUAAUAGGGACAGUUGGGGUCCUUCGUAUUGAAUUGUGAGAGGUGAAAUUCUAAGAUCAAUUCAAGACGUACUAAUGCGAAAGCAUUGGACAAGGAUGUUUUCAUUAAUCAAGAACGAAAGUUGGGGGAUCGAAGAUGAUCAGAUACCGUCGUAGUCCUAACCGUAAACUAUGUCGACUAAAGAUUAGUUAAAGUCUAUUGAAUAAAUGACUUUACUAGUAUUAUAACGAGAAAUCUCAAGUUUUCGGAUUCCGGGGGGAGUAUGGUCGCAAGGCUGAAACUUAAAGGAAUUGACGGGAGGGCACCACCAGGAGUGGAACCUGCGGCUCAAUUGGACCCAACGCCGGGAAACUCACCAGGUCCGGACACAAGAAGGAUUGACAAAUUAUAGUUCUUUCUUGAUUUUGUGUAAAGUGGUGCAUGGCCGUUUUUAGUUGGUGGAUUGAUUUGUCUGGUUUACUCCGUUAACGAACGAGACCUUAACUUAUUAAAUAGUAACCUAAACAACACAUUUAAUAAGAAUGGUACUUAUGUAUCAUUUUUAAAUAAUUAGGCUUUAAUACUUCUUAAAAGGACAUUUCAUGUUUAAUGAAAGGAAGAUUGAGGCAACAACAGGCCUGUGAUGCCCUUCGAUGUUCUGGGCUGCACGCGUGUUACAAUGUUAUAAACAACGAGUUUUAAAGAUCCUAACCUGAAUAAGGUAGAGGUAAUCUUUUAAAACUAUAACAUGAUUGGGAUAGAUCCUUGUAAUUAUUGGUCUUGAACGAGGAAUUCCUAGUAAAUAUAAGUAAUCAUCUUAUGUUGAUUACGUCCCUGCCCUUUGUACACACCGCCCGUCGCUCCUACCGAUUGAAUGUCAAGGUGAGGAUUUAGGAUGUAGAGUUUGAAUAUAAUAAAAAAUUUGGAAGAUAGGAAUUUAUUCUUAUUGGAAAAAUUUCUUUUUAUUCUAAAGAU
rnacentral:rRNA from 1 species